GACUGCUCUGGUGGCCUAAGUGGUUAGAGCAUCCACCUUGGAUGUGGGAGGUCACAGGUUUGAACUAUGGCCAAGUCA